GAGUUUGAUCAUGGCUCAGAGUGAACGCUGGCGGCAGGCCUAACACAUGCAAGUCGAACGGCAGCGCAGCAGUAGCAAUACUGUGGGCGGCGAGUGGCGGACGGGUGAGGAAUACAUCGGAAUCUACCUUGUCGUGGGGGAUAACGUAGGGAAACUUACGCUAAUACCGCAUACGACCUACGGGUGAAAGCGGCGGACCGCAAGGCGUCGCGCGAUUGGAUGAGCCGAUGUCCGAUUAGCUAGUUGCGGGUAAGAGCCACCAAGGCGACGAUCGGUAGCUGGUCUGAGAGGAUGAUCAGCCACACUGGAACUGAGACACGGUCCAGGACUCCUACGGGAGGCAGCAGUGGGGAAUAUUGGACAAUGGCGCAAGCCUGAUCCAGCCAUGCCGCGUGUGU
rnacentral:rRNA from 1 species